GACAGAGGGUGCAAACGUUGUUCGGAAUUACUGGGCGUAAAGAGCGCGCAGGCGGCCGAGUAAGUCGAAUGUGAAAGCCCCCGGCUCAACUGGGGAAGGUCAUUCGAUACUGUUCGGCUCGAAGAUAGGAGAGGGAAGCGGAAUUUCAGGUGUAGUGGUGAAAUGCGUAGAUAUCUGAAGGAACACCAGUGGCGAAGGCGGCUUUCUGGCCUAUUCUUGACGCUGAGGCGCGAAAGCUAGGGGAGCGAACGGG
rnacentral:rRNA from 1 species